rnacentral:rRNA from 1 species
UACGUAGGUCCCGAGCGUUGUCCGGAUUUAUUGGCCGUAAAGCGAGCGCAGGUGGUUUAUUAAGUCUGGUGUAAAAGGCAGUGGCUCAACCAUUGUAUGCAUUGGAAACUGGUAGACUUGAGUGCAGGAGAGGAGAGUGGAAUUCCAUGUGUAGCGGUGAAAUGCGUAGAUAUACGGAGGAACACCGGUGGCGAAAGCGGCUCUCUGGCCUGUAACUGACACUGAGGCUCGAAAGCGUGGGGAACAAACAGG